rnacentral:rRNA from 1 species
UGUCGGGGUCCCGAACAAGCAGGGGAGCAUGUGGUUUGAUUCGAAGCAACGCGAAGAACAUUACCUAGACUUGACAUUGCCUGAAUUACUCGUAGUCGAGGACGUCACUUCGGUGCGAGGAAGACAGGUGGUGCAUGGUUGUCGUCAGCUCGUGUCGUGAGAUGUUGGGUUAAGACCCGCAACGAGCGCAACCCUUAUUGUUAGUUGCUACCAUUUAGUUGAGCACUCUAGCGAGACUGCAGAGGUUAACGCGGACGAAGGGGGGGCUGACGUCAAAUCAUCAUGCCCCUUAUGUCUAAGGCCCCACACGGGCAACAAUGGCUGGGACCACGCGACGCCAUACCGCGAGGCGGAGCUCAACACUAAAACCAGUC